UGGGGAAUAUUGCACAAUGGGCGAAAGCCUGAUGCAGCAACGCCGCGUGAGUGAUGAAGGUCUUCGGAUUGUAAAGCUCUGUCUUUUGGGACGAUAAUGACGGUACCAAAGGAGGAAGCCACGGCUAACUACGUGCCAGCAGCCGCGGUAAUACGUAGGUGGCGAGCGUUGUCCGGAUUUACUGGGCGUAAAGGGUGCGUAGGCGGAUGUUUAAGUGAGAUGUGAAAUACCCGGGCUUAACUUGGGUGCUGCAUUUCAAACUGGAUAUCUAGAGUGCAGGAGAGGAGAAUGGAAUUCCUAGUGUAGCGGUGAAAUGCGUAGAGAUUAGGAAGAACACCAGUGCCGAAGGCGAUUCUCUGGACUGUAACUGACGCUGAGGCACGAAAGCGUGGGUAGCAAACAGGAUUAGAUACCCUGGUAGUCCACGCCGUAAACGAUGAGUACUAGGUGUAGGAGGUAUCGACCCCUUCUGUGCCGCAGUAAACACAUUAAGUACUCCGCCUGGGGAAGUACGAUCGC
rnacentral:rRNA from 1 species